CCUACGGGAGGCAGCAGUAGGGAAUGUUCGUCAAUGGGCGCAAGCCUGAACGAGCAAUGCCGCGUGAACGAGGAAGGUCUUCGGAUCGUAAAGGUCUGUUGAAGGGGAAAAAGAGCGGAGAGAGGAAAUGCUUUCGGAUUGAUAUUACCCGUCGAGGAAGGCACGGCUAACUACGUGCCAGCAGCCGCGGUAAUACGUAGGGGGCGAGCGUUAUCCGGAAUGAUGGGGCGUAAAGGGUGCGUAGGCGGCCGGCUAAGUCUGGAGUGAAAGGUACCGGCGCAACCGGUACAGGCUCUGGAAACUGGCGGGCUAGAGAGCAGGAGAGGGCGGUGGAACUCCCUGUGUAGCGGUCAACUGCGUCGAUAUAUGG
rnacentral:rRNA from 1 species